GAACAUAUAUUUUGCCAAAUUCAGAAUUUUUUAACUGAGCCAACUAUCACAGAGUUUCACAACACUGCCAAACAAAGGGAAGAGCCGAAGAUUCUGCAACCACCCUACCCUAGUCCCUAUAUGCCCAAUGAAAUUGACAUUCUUGAAAAUUCAAAUAAUUUGACUUGUAAAUAUAGUAAAAACUUUUACACAAUCAUAUUCAGCCUAACAUUUACACUCACAAAAUCCUCAAAAAUUACCUCAAUUGUAUUCAUGGUGGCAUUAAUCAGAGUAGGAAGUGCUUUGCUUCCAACAUACACAUAUCCCUCUAAUUGAUAAACUUCAUGUGGAGGACGGAGUAAACAACAAAACCGCCAAUGAAAUCAGUAAUUUGAAGCGAGAUGGAAGCAGGGAUGCGACGACGGCGGCGGCGGUGAAGCGGGAGCUGGUAGUGGUGGUGAUGAAGUGUUAAAAGCAAUGAGGACCAUCGUUGAUGAGCUCCCAGUCGUCUUCUUCUCCCCAACCUGCCGUGGACUGAUGAGAAAUUCUGUAAGUCGCCAUUAAUCUUUAAGCUUAAGGCACUCAAGAGAACGAGUAAAAUGGUGGAGUUAGG
rnacentral:lncRNA from 1 species